rnacentral:rRNA from 1 species
CGCGUAGGCGGCUUUUCAAGCGUGCGGUGAAAGCUCGGGGCUUAACUCCGAGUCUGCCGUGCGAACUGGGAGGCUUGAGUCUGGUAGAGGUCGAUGGAAUUCCGGGUGUAGCGGUGGAAUGCGUAGAGAUCCGGAAGAACACCGGUGGCGAAGGCGGUCGACUGGGCCAGAACUGACGCUGAGGCGCGACAGCGUGGGGAGCAAACA